UAAUACUUUCAGCAACGGAUGUCUUGGUUCCCACAACGAUGAAGAACGCAGCAAAACGCGA
rnacentral:rRNA from 1 species